rnacentral:tRNA from 1 species
GCCUGGGUGGCUCAGUGGUUGAGCAUCUGCCUUCAGAUCAGGGCAUGAUCCCAGGGUCCUGGGAUCAAGUCCCACAUGGGCU